GACUUGGCUCCCACAGCGGUGGGCUGAAUGUCAGCGGGGAGGCACCCCGCCUGCACCUUUGCUCUGAACUCCUCUUCCCUGCACGCCUGCACGGGCAGGAGGGGUGAUUGAAACCCUAGAUCGGGGCUUUCUGCUGCUCCAGAGGACUCUUUCUUGUGUGUCUGUAUCUUAGCAAUCCAUUCCUGCUCCAUCAAAAUGCUGAAGUAUCUGCUUCCUGCUCCAGCAUCCCUCCGAGCCACAGCAAGCUAGCAGCCAGUACCAACAUGCAAAAAACACUAUCUUUAGGAACUUGACGUUUGAUAAUGAAUUUUAGCAAAAGGAAUGAUUUCCUGCCAGUUGUCUCCGCCUCUCAUUUACCACUGUGUUUCCGCUUAAGCACAAAUAAAUAGAGUAAAGCAAACGUA
rnacentral:lncRNA from 1 species